GACGAACGCUGGCGGCGUGCUUAACACAUGCAAGUCGAACGAUGAAGCCGGAGCUUGCUCUGGUGAAUUAGUGGCGAACGGGUGAGUAACACGUGAGUAACCUGCCCUUGACUCUGGGAUAACUGCGGGAAACUGUAGCUAAUACCGGAUACGACCCUCGGAGGCAUCUCCUGGGGGUGGAAAGAAUUUCGGUCAAGGAUGGACUCGCGGCCUAACAGAUAGUUUGUGAGGUAAAGGCUGACCAAGGCGACGACGGGUAGCCGGCCUUAGAGGCUGACCGGCCACCCUGGGACUUAGACACGGCCCAGACUCCUACGGGAGGCAGCAGUGGGGAAUAUUGCACAAUGGGCGCAAGCCUGAUGCAGCAACGCCGCGUGAGGGAUGACGGCCUUCGGGUUGUAAACCUCUUUUAGCAGGGAAGAAGCGAAAGUGACGGUACCUGCAGAAAAAGCACCGGCUAACUACGUGCCAGCCGCCGCAGUAA
rnacentral:rRNA from 1 species